AGGGGCAUAGUACAACGGUUAGUAUACCGGUCUCCAAAACCAGCGAUCGAGGUUCGAUUCCUCGUGCCCCUGCCA
rnacentral:tRNA from 1 species